rnacentral:rRNA from 1 species
UAAAAUAAUUAAGGGCACACAAAGGAUGCCUAGGUAGUAAGAGCCGAUGAAGGACGUGGUAAGCUGCGAUAAGCCUAGAUAAGUUGCAAUCGAACGUAAGAGUCUAGGAUUUCCGAAUGGAGCAAUCUAUUAAGAUGGAGUCUUAAUACGAAAGAGGGAACCGCGUGAACUGAAACAUCUAAGUAACGCGAGGAAAAGAAAGUAAAAACGAUACCCAAAGUAGCGGCGAGCGAAAUGGGUCAAGCCUAAACCUUAAAUAUGUCAAGGAUACAGCCGUUGUAUUUAAGGGGUUGAGGGACAGAGUAGUGAAGAACUGUAAGAUAUUCAAUAUAGUGUAUUGAUGAAUUGGAAUUGUCUGGAAAGGCGAACCGUAGAAGGUGAAAGUCCUGUACAAGUAAAUCCUUACACAUAUAACUCUGCUCCCAAGUAACAUGGAACACGAGGAAUUCUGUGUGAAUCUGUGAGGACCAUAUCUCAUAAGGCUAAAUACUCUUACUAACCGAUAGCGCAUAGUACCGUGAGGGAAAGGUGAAAAGAACCCCUGGAGGGGAGUGAAAUAGAACCUGAAAUUGUGUGCUUACAAGCGGUCAGAGCCAGCAAUGGUGAUGGCGUGCCUUUUGGAGAAUGAUCCUGCGAGUUACGUUAAACGGCGAGGUUAAGUAUAACGGAGCCGAAGGGAAACCAAGUCUUAAUAGGGCGAUUUAGUCGUUUGGCGUAGACGCGAAACCUGGUGAUCUAAACCUGUCCAGGAUGAAGCUGUGGUAAGACACAGUGGAGGUCCUAACCCACCGCCGUUGAAAAGUUGGGGGAUGAGGUAGGUUUAGGGGUGAAAAGCCAAUCGAACCAGGAGAUAGCUCGUUCUCUCCGAAAUGUAUCUAGGUACAGCCUUGAGUGUUCAAUUAUGGGGGUAGAGCACUGAAUGAUCUAGGGGGCGUAUUGCUUACUGAAAUCAAUCAAACUCCGAAUACCAUAAUUUAUAGCUCAGGAGUGAGACUAUGGGAGUUAACUUCCAUUGUCGAAAGGGAAACAACCCAGACCACCAGCUAAGGUCCCUAAUUAUAACUAAGUGGGAAAGGAGGUGGAGAUUCACAAACAACUAGGAGGUUGGCUUAGAAGCAGCCAUACCUUUAAAGAGUGCGUAAUAGCUCACUAGUCGAGAGUCUCUGCGCCGACAAUGUAACGGGGCUAAGUUAUAAACCGAAGCUGUGGAAUCCGUAAGGAUUGGUAGGAGAGCGUUCUGUAGGCCGUUGAAGGAGAAGGGUAACCGACUCUGGAGGUAUCAGAAGUGAGAAUGCAGGAAUAAGUAGCGAGAAAGGGGGCGAGAAUCCCCCUCGCCGGAAGACCAAGGUUUUCAGGGUAAAGCUUGUCUUCCCUGAGUAAGCCGGGACCUAAGCCCAGGCUAUAAUGCGUAGGCGAAUGGAAAACAGAUUAAUAUUUCUGUGCCAGUCAUAUAUUGUGAUGGAGGGACGCAGAAGGGUAUGCGCGCGGACGAACGGAAGUGUCCGUAGAAGUAUGUAGGAUGACUUGAUAGGAAAAUCCAUUGAGUUAUAUCUGAGGUAUGAUAUACAGUCGUAAGAUGAAUGCGCAAAUCCCACGCUGCCAAGAAAAGCUUCUAACGUUAAUAUUUGACUGCCCGUACUGCAAACCGACACAGGUGGUCAGGAUGAGAAAUCUAAGGCGGACAGGCUAACUCUCGUUAAGGAACUCUGCAAAAUAACCUCGUAACUUCGGGAGAAGAGGAGCCCUUGAGGGUCAGUAUCCACGCGAUACAAAGCGCUCGAGGGUCGCAGUGAAGAGGCUCAAGCAACUGUUUAACAAAAACACAGGUCUAUGCUAAGCUGGAAGGCGAUGUAUAUGGGCUGACACCUGCCCAGUGCUGGAAGGUUAAGAGGAGGAGUGAGAGCUCCGAAUUGAAGCCCCAGUGAACGGCGGCCGUAACUAUAACGGUCCUAAGGUAGCGAAAUUCCUUGUCGGGUAAG